rnacentral:rRNA from 1 species
GAUGAACGCUGGCGGCGUGCCUAAUACAUGCAAGUCGAGCGAACGGACGAGAAGCUUGCUUCUCUGAUGUUAGCGGCGGACGGGUGAGUAACACGUGGAUAACCUACCUAUAAGACUGGGAUAACUUCGGGAAACCGGAGCUAAUACCGGAUAAUAUUUUGAACCGCAUGGUUCAAAAGUGAAAGACGGUCUUGCUGUCACUUAUAGAUGGAUCCGCGCUGCAUUAGCUAGUUGGUAAGGUAACGGCUUACCAAGGCAACGAUGCAUAGCCGACCUGAGAGGGUGAUCGGCCACACUGGAACUGAGACACGGUCCAGACUCCUACGGGAGGCAGCAGUAGGGAAUCUUCCGCAAUGGGCGAAAGCCUGACGGAGCAACGCCGCGUGAGUGAUGAAGGUCUUCGGAUCGUAAAACUCUGUUAUUAGGGAAGAACAUAUGUGUAAGUAACUGUGCACAUCUUGACGGUACCUAAUCAGAAAGCCACGGCUAACUACGUGCCAGCAGCCGCGGUAAUACGUAGGUGGCAAGCGUUAUCCGGAAUUAUUGGGCGUAAAGCGCGCGUAGGCGGUUUUUUAAGUCUGAUGUGAAAGCCCACGGCUCAACCGUGGAGGGUCAUUGGAAACUGGAAAACUUGAGUGCAUAAGAGGAAAGUGGAAUUCCAUGUGUAGCGGUGAAAUGCGCAGAGAUAUGGAGGAACACCAGUGGCGAAGGCGACUUUCUGGUCUGUAACUGACGCUGAUGUGCGAAAGCGUGGGGAUCAAACAGGAUUAGAUACCCUGGUAGUCCACGCCGUAAACGAUGAGUGCUAAGUGUUAGGGGGGUUCCGCCCCUUAGUGCUGCAGCUAACGCAUUAAGCACUCCGCCUGGGGAGUACGACCGCAAGGUUGAAACUCAAAGGAAUUGACGGGGACCCGCACAAGCGGUGGAGCAUGUGGUUUAAUUCGAAGCAACGCGAAGAACCUUACCAAAUCUUGACAUCCUUUGACAACUCUAGAGAUAGAGCUUUCCCCUUCGGGGGACAAAGUGACAGGUGGUGCAUGGUUGUCGUCAGCUCGUGUCGUGAGAUGUUGGGUUAAGUCCCGCAACGAGCGCAACCCUUAAGCUUAGUUGCCAUCAUUAAGUUGGGCACUCUAAGUUGACUGCCGGUGACAAACCGGAGGAAGGUGGGGAUGACGUCAAAUCAUCAUGCCCCUUAUGAUUUGGGCUACACACGUGCUACAAUGGACAAUACAAAGGGCAGCGAAACCGUGAGGUCAAGCAAAUCCCAUAAAGUUGUUCUCAGUUCGGAAUGUAGUCUGCAACUCGACUACAUGAAGCUGGAAUCGCUAGUAAUCGUAGAUCAGCAUGCUACGGUGAAUACGUUCCCGGGUCU